rnacentral:tRNA from 1 species
UCCCGGGUGGCUCAGAUGGUAAAGCGUCUGCUUACAAUGCGAAAGACCCGGGUUCGAUCCCUGGGUCGGGAA